rnacentral:piRNA from 1 species
UCACUGUUGUGGUUCAUAGGGUUGAC